rnacentral:sRNA from 1 species
CAGGUUUCCGAAGGAGAGGCAGGUGAGUACUGACACGCCACCUCUUCCUAUAACACUGUGGGUGACUACGUCCUAGGCUGAAUGGCAAUCUCCGCUUGUUCCCUGAGGGGCAGCAUGAGGCCUGUGGCUUUUCUGUCCGCUCAUGUCAGUACUGAGAGGAAGAAAGUUCUACAAUGCUGAACAGUCGGCCGAGGGUGCAGGGCCUGGGUCAAUACUUGCUAGGGCUUACAGCUGGAGUCCACAGAGGGAGAUCUGGGAUUCAGAUCAAAUGAGAGGAAGAGCCUAGGGAAGUCCCCUGAGCUCUGCUACUUUGUCACUGGUGUGUUUGGUUUUGGUUCUUCCAGGAAGAGUCUGCCGAAGGUGAAGGCCAUGGACUUCAUCACCUCCACAGCCAUCCUGCCCCUGCUGUUCAGCUGCCUGGGCGUCUUCGGCCUCUUCCGGCUGCUGCAGUGGGUGCGCGGGAAGGCCUACCUGCGGAAUGCUGUGGUGGUGAUCACAGGCGCCACCUCAGGGCUGGGCAAAGAAUGUGCAAAAGUCUUCUAUGCUGCGGGUGCUAAGCUGGUGCUCUGUGGCCGGAAUGGUGGGGCCCUAGAAGAGCUCAUCAGAGAACUCACUGCUUCUCAUGCCACCAAGGUGCAGACACACAAGCCUUACUUGGUGACCUUCGACCUCACAGACUCUGGGGCCGUAGUUGCAGCAGCAGCUGAGAUCCUGCAGUGCUUUGGCUAUGUCGACAUACUUGUCAACAAUGCUGGGAUCAGCUACCGUGGUACCAUCAUGGACACCACAGUGGAUGUGGACAAGAGGGUCAUGGAGACAAACUACUUUGGCCCAGUUGCUCUAACGAAAGCCCUCCUGCCCUCCAUGAUCAAGAGGAGGCAAGGCCACAUUGUCGCCAUCAGCAGCAUCCAGGGCAAGAUCAGCAUUCCUUUUCGAUCAGCAUACGCAGCCUCCAAGCACGCAACCCAGGCUUUCUUUGACUGUCUGCGUGCCGAGAUGGAACAGUAUGAAAUUGAGGUGACCGUCAUCAGCCCCGGCUACAUCCACACCAACCUCUCUGUAAAUGCCAUCACCGCGGAUGGAUCUAGGUAUGGAGUUAUGGACACCACCACAGCCCAGGGCCGAAGCCCUGUGGAGGUGGCCCAGGAUGUUCUUGCUGCUGUGGGGAAGAAGAAGAAAGAUGUGAUCCUGGCUGACUUACUGCCUUCCUUGGCCGUUUAUCUUCGAACUCUGGCUCCUGGGCUCUUCUUCAGCCUCAUGGCCUCCAGGGCCAGAAAAGAGCGGAAAUCCAAGAACUCCUAGUACUCCGACCAGCCAGAGCCAGGCCAGAGAAGCAGCACUCUUAGGCUUGGUUACUCUACAAGGGACAGUUGCAUUUGUUGAGACUUUAAUGGAGAUUUGUCUCACAAGUGGGAAAGACUGAAGAAACACAUCUCAUGCAGAUCUGCUGGCAGAAGACAAUCAAAAACGGCAACAAGCUUCUUCCCAGGGUGAGGGGAAACACUUAAGGAAUAAAUAUGGAGCUGGGGUUUCACGCUAAAAACUAGAAAUAAACAUCUAAAACAGU